UCAAGAUAAAGCUUAUUAGUUUAGUUUCCCUUUUACGCUGGGAAGGUUAACUGUGCAAUUCAGUUUGUCUUGAU
rnacentral:tRNA from 1 species